UACAGAGGGUGCGAGCGUUGUCCGGAAUCACUGGGCGUAAAGGGCGCGUAGGCGGCCUGAUAAGUAGGGGGUGAAAUCCUGUGGCUUAACUGCAGGGCUGCCUCCUAGACUGUUAUGCUCGAGCACGGUAGAGGCAGAUGGAAUUCCCGGUGUAGCGGUGGAAUGCGUAGAGAUCGGGAAGAACAUCGGUGGCGAAGGCGGUCUGCUGGGCCGCAGCUGACGCUGAGGCGCGACAGCGUGGGGAGCAAACAGG
rnacentral:rRNA from 1 species